rnacentral:rRNA from 1 species
UACGGAGGGUGCAAGCGUUAUCCGGAUUUACUGGGUUUAAAGGGUGCGUAGGUGGGCAGGUAAGUCAGCGGUGAAAUCUCCGAGCUUAACUCGGAAACUGCCAUUGAUACUAUCUGUCUUGAAUUAUCUGGAGGUGAGCGGAAUAUGUCAUGUAGCGGUGAAAUGCUUAGAUAUGACAUAGAACACCAAUUGCGAAGGCAGCUCACUACGGAUACAUUGACACUGAGGCACGAAAAGCGUGGGGGAGCCAAACAGGG